rnacentral:rRNA from 1 species
AGCGAACGCUGGCGGCAGGCCUAACACAUGCAAGUCGAACGAACCUUUCGGGGUUAGUGGCGGACGGGUGUGUCGCACGUGGGAACGUGCCUUUAGGUUCGGAAUAACUCAGGGACACUUGUGCUUAUACCGAAUGUGCCCUUCGGGGGAAAGAUAUAUCGCCUUUAGAGCGGCCCGCGUCUGAUUAGCUAGGUGGUUGAGGUAAUGGCUCACCAAGGCGACGAUCAGUAGCUGGUCUGAGAGGAUGAUCAGCCACAUUGGGACUGAGACACGGCCCAAACUCCUACGGGAGGCAGCAGUGGGGAAUCUUGCGCAAUGGGCGAAAGCCUGACGCAGCCAGGCCGCGUGAAUGAUGAAGGUCUUAGGAUUGUAAAAUUCUUUCACCGGGGACGAUAAUGACGGUACCCGGAGAAGAAGCCCCGGCUAACUUCGUG